GCGGGCGUAGCUCAGUCGGUUAGAGUGCCGGCCUGUCACGCCGGAGGUCGCGGGUUCGAGCCCCGUCGCCCGCGCCA
rnacentral:tRNA from 48 species